rnacentral:rRNA from 1 species
AGAGCCUACGGUGGAUGCCUGGGCACUAGGAAACGAUGAAGGACGUGGUAAGCUGCGAUAAGCUUCGGGGAGUGGCACACACACUUUGAUCCGAAGAUUUCCGAAUGGGGAAACCCACCAGUAUAUCUGGUACGACGUGGUAAAUUCAUAGCCACUUCGAGUGAACGACGGGAAGUGAAACAUCUCAGUACCGUCAGGAAAAGAAAUCAACCGAGAUUCCCCCAGUAGUGGCGAGCGAACGGGGAGCAGCCUAAACCUUGUAUACGUGAUAGCUGUCAGGCGUUGUGUACGAGGUGUCGUGAGACUUUCAGGAGUAGCUGAUAAUGCUCCGUAGAGUUAAAAAUAAAUUGCUAGUAGAAGGCUCUGGAAAGUGCCGCCAAAGAAGGUGAUAGCCCUGUAAACGAAAGCAAUUUGUCUCUAGAAAGUAUCUCGAGUACCACAAGACACGUGAAAUCUUGUGGGAAUCCGGGGAGACCACUCUCCAAGGCUAAACAUUACCUAGUGACCGAUAGUGAACAAGUACAGUGAUGGAAAGGUGAAAAGAACCCCGAGAGGGGAGUGAAAUAGAAUCUGAAACCGUUUGCUUACAAGCAGUGGGAGCACUAUGCACGAAUGUGAAAAGUGUGACCGCGUACCUCUUGCAUAAUGAGUCAGCGAGUUAUUUUUGCAGGCAAGAUUAAGCCGUUACAGGUGGAGUCGUAGCGAAAGCGAGUCUGAAAUGGGCGUUAGUCUGCAGGAAUAGACCCGAAACCCGGUGAUCUAAUCAUGGCCAGGUUGAAGCGCGGGUAACACCGCGUGGAGGACCGAACUAGUUGAGGUUGAAAACUCUUUGGAUGAGCUGUGAUUAGGGGUGAAAGGCCAAUCAAACUGGGUGAUAGCUGGUUCUCUCCGAAAUAUAUUUAGGUAUAGUCUUCGAUAAAUUCUAUCACGGAGGUAGAGCACUGAAUGGGCUAGGGGUCUUUACCAGAUUACCAACCCCAAUCAAACUCCGAAUGCCGUAGAUAGUUACUCGAGGAAGCAGACGCGGGGUGAUAAGGUCACGCGUCGAGAGGGAAAGAGCCCAGAUCGCCAGCUAAGGUCCCUAAAUGUGCGCUAAGUGGUUAACGAUGUGGAGCUACUUUGACAACCAGGAGGUUGGCUUAGAAGCAGCAAUCCUUUAAAGAAAGCGUAAUAGCUCACUGGUCUAGUGGCUCCGCGCGGAAGAUGUAACGGGGCUCAAGCGCAUUACCGAAGCUGCGGGUUUAAAAGAUAUUCGUAUCUUUUAAGCGGUAGGAGAGCGUUCUCGCGUAGGCUGAAGGUCGAGCGACAAGCACGGCUGGACGAACGAGAAGUGAUCAUGCUGACAUAAGUAGCGUGUUAAGACAGGUGAAAAACCUGUCCGCCGAAAACUCAAGGGUUCCUGGGCAAGGAUAAUCCUCCCAGGGUUAGUCGAGACCUAAGAUGAGGCCGAAUGGCGUAGUCGAUGGACAAACGGUUAAUAUUCCGUUACCUGCCCUGAUUUAUAGCAUAGGAGUGACGAAUUAGGAUAAACCAGCCUCUUAUUGGAUUGAGGUGUAAGUGGUUAGAUGGUGUUGUUGGCAAAUCCGCAACACUUAACAUUGAGCCAUGAAUGCGAGCGGAUUUUAUCCGCGGAAGUGGUCUAGUCCAUGAUUCCAAGAAAAGCUUCGAUGUGUUGUUAGGGCAGCUCGUACCGUAAACCGACUCAGGUGAGUAGGAUGAGUAUUCUAAGGCGAUUGGGUUAAAACUGGUUAAGGAACUCGGCAACUUGACACCGUAACUUCGGAAGAAGGUGUGCCACGGUAGGGUUUAUAGCCCGAUGUGGUCGCAGAGAAAUGGGAGUAGCGACUGUUUAUCAAAAACACAGGGCUGUGCUAAGUCACAAGACGACGUAUACAGCCUGACGCCUGCCCGGUGCUGGAAGGUUAAGAGGAUUUGUCAGCGUAAGCGAAGCAGAGAAUCGAAGCCCCAGUAAACGGCGGCCGUAACUAUAACGGUCCUAAGGUAGCGAAAUUCCUUGUCGGGUAAGUUCCGACCUGCACGAAUGGCGUAACGACUUCUCCGGUGUCUCAACCAGAUGCCCAGCGAAUUUGAACUCUCAGUGAAAAUGCUGAGUUCCCGCAGAAAGACGGAAAGACCCCGUGAACCUUUACUCUAGCUUGGCAGUGAUCUUAGAUCUAGCAUGUGUAGGAUAGGUGGGAGCCUUUGAAGCUUGGGCGCUAGCUCAGGUGGAGGCAACCUUGAAAUACCACCCUUGUUGGCUUUGAGAUCUAACCUGCGCCCUGAUCAGGGCGAGGGACACUGUCUGGUGGGGAGUUUGACUGGGGCGGUCGCCUCCAAAAAAGUAACGGAGGCGUACGAAGGUUCGCUCAGCCUGAUUGGAAACCAGGCGGUGAGUGCAUUGGCAUAAGCGAGCUUAACUGCAAGACCUACAAGUCGAGCAGAUGCGAAAGCAGGUCAUAGUGAUCCGGUGGUCCCGUGUGGAAGGGCCAUCGCUCAACGGAUAAAAGGUACGCCGGGGAUAACAGGCUGAUG